AGUACCUCCAUAGUGACCCGCCUGCUUGUAACGUUUAUGAGGCGACUUCUGAGAAAAGGAGAAGAGCGCGUUAUCUCUUGCUCCCCUCUUGUGUUUCCGUUAGAGCCAAGCUGCUAUCUGUGUCCACCUCGGGACAGUCUGGCCUGCAGAGAAGCGAUUACUGCUGAUUAACCUCACACAGGACAGCAGCUGAGACCGUUCACGUACUGUAGACUAAUCGAGCAGCCAUAGAUGAGCUUCUGUAUGAUGCAGCACAAUUUGGGUCAGGUUUCUGUGGAAGUAUAUCUAAAACUUCAGCUUCACUUGUAAAAGCCUUUGAUCAAAGCUGAGAAGCCUGAUGAAUGAUGAUUGACCUUCACUAACUUGCCAGAAGCAGUGCCACCUUGUAUACACACAUUUGACAUUUUCUCAAGUACAGUCAACAUAAAGUGUCAUCACUUUUCAGGCACUGCUCUCCAGGGAACCCCUGAGAUCAAACAAAGAGUCUUCCGUUGACAUUUGCGAAGGAAAUGCUACAAUCAUUGAAGCUCGGUUAGUGCUCGGACUUUGAAGGACGAGACUACAUUCCAGAAGCCAAUUUAUUAUCUUUGAGUCAUUUGUGAAUCAUGCUAGUUAUCUAUUAUCAGACUUUACAACCCUUUAAAUAAGCAUGCACAAUUACAGCUGGCCAUGACACCGUCAAUUAUGCUUGAUGACAUAAAGACCUAAUAACUUCUAAACAAAUCUUGUUGCCAGAGAAACUAAACAGGAAAAGGUCUUUAUAGAGAUGCCAAUACUACAGUAUAACACACAAGUUAUAUUUGAACUCCGCAAGAAAUAAUAUUCCAAAACUGAAGCGCAAACAGUGUGCUUCCAAAUUGUUAUUUCCUAUUUUGUGUUAAUGUAUGAGUGUGCUUUGAAACCAAUCCACUUCACACCUUAAUUGCACAAUUUCAAGGCACAGGGUUCUGAAGAGGGCUGAGUACAAAAAGACAACAGAGUCCUAUUGAAAUAUUCAAGCUCAAGUGCAUCUCUAUCUCCAAACUAACACAUGCACUGGGCUAUGUGCUCUCACAAUUUAGCCUCUUGAAUGAGGUGCAAAACCGUGGCAUAUUAUUCACAUAGCCAUGAGAAUUACUCCAUUCAUUACUUUUAUAUAACCCAAACGUAUUUUAUGUCAAAAAUAGAGAAGUACAAUUAUCUGCAGUGGUCAGCACAUGCUUUUAAUAAAACCGAGAUGCUUCACUGAGAUGAUGAAAAGAGGUUUUUUUUUCCACUUUCAGAUUUCUAUUAUAAUGGCUUCUGAAGCCAUAUGACUGACACACGCAUGAUGCUAAUUGGGCUGCAAUCGUGCAAUAGUGCAAUAGUGCAAGGACAAUAACUAAGUGAUUGGGGCAACUGAUUGUGAGGUGAUGGAAAACUGAUCAGACAAAGCGUAUGCUGUGUUAAUACUUUAGAAACGAGGCACAUGGUUCUCUUUCCGGGAAAGGGAGACAGGAGGUUUGGAAUACUUAUAUAUAGUUUGUAUUAGUAAGU